CUUAGAGGUAUAGGUGUAGGAUCUUGGGAGGAUCAAGUUACCCCUGGAAUCUGGGAAUAGCAAUUAUUCCUCAGUACCCAAUGUGUUGCUUCUUGUAACUGCAAAGAAUUCCAAAUCUGUCAAUUAUUUGCUGUCUGAGCACUAGCCAAGCAGAGCUUCUUAUCCCCUAUGAGACACCAGAGUCAGUGAAGAUCAGGCCCAGAGAGCCCAGCUGCUAUGCCUAAGGGGAGCAGCAUAAAGUUACCAGGAGAAAAGAAGAAACCCUAAGGCCUUGGAGUUCCAGAGAUGGGAGCUAGCUGUUCUUCUAAUUCAGGUUUGACUGAACCACACCUCCAGAAGAGGACUCUUACCCAGGAUGGGACACUUCCAUUGAAUAUGGCUCCUCCUCAGAAAAACAAAAGACUUUUGAAGAACAAGUGAAAUAAAAGAUGCCUUUGGGUAACAGGGAG
ensembl:lncRNA